UCAAGAGUCACUUUUCAGAACACAGUUGUAUUUUUACAACAUGUCAUCCUACAGAGAAGAGCCCCACAGACAUUCAUUUUAUCUGAUUUCUCCCUUACCGCUAAGGAAUUAGUGCAUUCUCUACAGCAGGACUCAGUUCCUGGCAAGCAAAACGAAAUGGAGUGAAAGGAGAAGGAAGUUGGAAAAGAAAUGUGAAUGAAUUACAAAUAAUGCUUUUCAGAAUCUGUCUUCAAUUUAAAAAGAAGGAAAGAGAAGAUCCUUAGAGAAGUGGUGCUCUUGCCAUCGUGGCCAAAGGGUGUGAAGAAGGGUUUCUACGGAGGAGAUUCUGUUCCACAUCAUUGAGAUACACAAGCCUGCAUUCUGUCAGCGAAGAGAGAUGCACAGCUUAUCACCUCCCUUAUUAAAAAAGGAACUCAAAAUCAGGCAUGGUAUAAAUACAACAGGACCUGCUUCGCUGAACUUAAAUUUUCUACCUUACUGGUCUUAUGAGCCUUGGAGGAAAAUGAAUGUGUUAAAGAAAGACAGACCUGGUGACCCAAGGAAGAUUACAAGGAAAGAUAUUCAAUAAUAAAGGGACUAAGCACAGGAUAAGCAGACCACAAAACAACACAUCAGACAAAGACUGGAGAUUGAAAAAUUGGACAUUCAAGAAGAAGUCAAUGAUGGAAAGAUAUCUCAAGUUGUUAUCUAAAUGUCAUUCUACCACCAAAAUUAAGAACAGCUUUGAGAAAUCAGAUACCACUUAUUUCCACUGACACAUCUCAAAAACUUGCAGACAACACAAGAAAGAGAUGCCUUUCUAGGCAAGCCUGUGAAGCUAAGAAGCGUGGGCUGUGAGUAAGAAUGGAAUUAAGGAAAAAAAAAAAAAAAGAUUUGCUCUUGAUUCUUCCUUAUUUAAAUACAAAAAUCUAUGGAUUAGGCUUUCUGAUCUCACAAGAAAAUUUUAAAAGACAAAAUGAACAUAUUAAGAGCUUGUAAGAAUAAGAAUAUCAGAGAAAUAAUUGCUGUAUUUGAUAUACACAGAGUCCUUUAAAAUCUGACUUCUCUUAAUAGGAAAACAAAACAAGACUUCUCUGGAUUGUCUCUUUGUAUAACAGAACAUACGAACAGCUCCUCUCAGUCAAACCAAAGGUACAUGCAGUGCAGUAUCCUACUUCCAACUCUGACCAAUAUGAGAUGCCUGAAGAUGACUGUAAGAGCAUGGCAAGCACAGUGAUAUUUCCACAGAAAUCUCUCCUGGCCACAAGCAUUUUGUGGCUGAGGAGCCACAGAGGUGGUGACUGCAUUUUAGAGUUCUCUAUGACAUUUUCUACUAACCAACUCUGGGAUCUUUGAAGUUUUAAACAUUUGGUAUUUAACAGCAUCCUUGGGUGCUUAUGAAAAUUGUAUGAAGAGCCAUUUCUGCUUUGUUUUCCUUUUUUAAAAAGUUUAAUCUGAUGUUCUGCUAGUCUCAUUUGUUUUAAAAUUAGAAAGUAAUCAGAGAACUUAUAACACAUAACAUCUUGCAAUAGAUAGCUGAAGGCUUUUGCAUAUUAAAACAUCUUGCAAGCAGAAAGCUCAUAUGACAUUCUGGGAGAAGGAACUGAGGUUCCUUUUCCCAGUUCUGCUCAUUUAAUAUUCCCAAACUACUGCAUAACAAUUCCUAUUUUCUGGAUUCAAUAUUUUCAAGUUCAUAUACUGUAACCAAAACUUCUAAUGUAAGUUUUGUAAAACAUUUUAUAUUACACUGUAAUGUUCUGAGAGAUGAUUUUACAACACAAUUUAACUCGACGACGAUCAGCUGUGCUCCCUCUUUUUCUUUAAAUCUUUGGAAAAAUGAGCUUCUUUACAGACCAAGAUACCAAGAUGUUCAAUAGAGUGCACAUCUCAAACCUUAAAUAAAACAAGUACAUCUCACUUAACUCAGUCCUUAAGCAAAACAGAUAUCUUAAAGGUUAAACAACUUUUCUCCAUAGUGAUGUAUUCAGACAACAUCAGCAUACAGCUAUUGAAAUUCUACUCUCAGUAGAAUUCUGCCCUAGUAGGAGGAAGAGGCAGAAAAAGCAAAUAAAUUCUACCAGAAUAGCAGAGCAACAUAUAAACACUGAAGAGUUCUCGAAUGUUCUUUCAGCACAUAAGAAGUUUAGUUUCCACGAUUAGCAUUAGCAUCUUCAGAAGUCCAUUUAGAUAGUACCCCCUUCUGCUGAUUGCGGGGCACCAGCCUCCAUCAUCCAUCCACUUGUGCAAGUAUAUGCAAAAAAAAACAGGCCUCAUUUGUACCUGCUUCUGUGUGUGCACAGCAACAGAACAUCACAGCAUAAAAAAAGUAACACAAAGAUAUGUUUAGUGGGUUUUUGUUGUUGUUGCUUUUGUUAAUGUGUGCAAACUAUUACUAUAGUUGUUUGUUUCUCUCUUCCUCAGAUUACUUACAGCAUUUUGCUCCUGACAGCUUUAAUAUACCGGCCAAAAUGUCCAGUAGAUUUCUUUGCUUUAAAGUACGUUUUAUUAAAUUAAAAAUACAUAUUAUUAAAAUAUUCAGCUGUGACUGCAAUUUGCACUGUCAGCACUGCCACAUCAUGCAGCGUGCUGGACAUGCUCCCAAGUGGAGAGUGGUUUUAAGAAUAGGGAUGUGGUUCUUCAAGAAGCCCAAAGCCGUCAGACACCACAGUCUAUACACAGCAUAAUGUUUAGCAAUUACUCAUAUGAGCAGUACAUAAGCCUUACCUUUACAAAUCAGUGUUUAAGCAGACACAUAAUGGCUGUUUAUCCCUCGAUCACGCUGGCAGUAUCAAUAAUAACUAAAAGUGCAUGUAGUCUGCAGUUAGCACAGAGUGUUUUGAAUCAGCUGCUUCUGGAGAACAAGCAAUGGUUUGGGGUGUUCCUGUUCUUUCAGUAUUAAUUCUUGUAUAUCACCUUCAGUGUUAGCUUGAAGGUGGUUAGGAAUUACAACUGGGAGGCAGCACAGGCAUUUUCCAGAUAGCUAAAUAAUGUCCUUAUAAAAUAAAGCAGUAACAACAAGAAUUUUAGAAGUCUGAUUAUAUCAGCUCAGAUACAAUCAUUCUCGAUAUCUCACUAAUGUCUUACCUCACCGAUAUCUUAAUGUGUAGUGGGAAGGAAUGACAUCUGUUGCUGCUAGCUCAAUGACCUGAAAGUGUCUUGAAUAGGAUUUAGAAUAUAUCGGUUGAGACAAGCAGGCCACCCAGAAAGACCAAAUGUCAUGACUGGCCUCCAGAAUAUUUCUCCUCUUUUGCACUGCAAGGUAAUAAUUUGAUCAGUUUGGCUUUAACAUCUGCUGCUGGUUGAGAUGUCCGACGGAUGUUUCCAACUGAGAUAUGUUUUGAACAUUAUUAAUUCCCAUGACCUAGUGUCAAAGUCUGAUAGAGAAAGUGAUCUGGUUGCCUUAUCUUCCAGUAUUUAAUAACAGUACUGGGUAGAAACAGCUGGAAACAAUAUCACAUUAUCUAUAAUAAAUUUUCAGAAGACUUUGUUGAAAAUAGCUCAGAUCUGGUAGAGCCAAAUCAGAAAACAGCCUUAUAAACCAGCAGUGCGUAGAGGAACAGCCACGUGAGCACACUGAUUGAGAUGAUUACCUAAUCAGGCUACGUAGGACGUAAUCAGAAGUAAACUGACAUCUUACAAAGUCAUAUGGAAAUCCAGGUACAAUUAUGUCCUAAACUUAAAAUCCAAUUCUUUCCUCAAUUAAAAUAAAGUCAGAUUAUAUCAUUUAUUUAGUAUCUUUAAGCCACAAAUGGGCUCUGCAAUACUUCUUCACAUGCAGCUUCUGUUGAUUUUCUUGGAAGCUUAGCAUGCAGAAACUUAGAACAAACUCUGAGCCUGCUCUGAUCUCAUGCACAAAUUGAUUUACGGAAGUUUUUACUCUGCUGCUGUUUUCAGCUUAAAUAGAAGUGUUUAACCACAAAAAAAAAUGUUUUUGAUCAUUUUGAUUAAAAAAAAUAGGGUGCCUACGCCAUUAUUAGUUAUCAUGGCAUGUUGUGAAGUACUUACAAAUGAAAGUAAGAAAGGAAGAACUGGAAGUGCAUCUGUAUCUUUAGCUAAUAGUAAAAAUCAAAAAGUACCCACCAAACCCAAAACACAAACAAUUAUUUCUGUGGCCUCCACUCCCCAACUUUUCUGAGAUGAGGCAAAUUAUUACUGCGCGCACAUCUAGGAAAUUCCUCUAGUACUGUGUGCAUGUCAGAGAGAUUACAUGGUGAUGAAUGCUUCCAGAACCUUUCUGCCUGUAUGCUGGAAGAAAACAAACUCUCUUCAUUUUCAGCUAUGGAGAUACUAGCAGAGUAUGUGAACAGCCUUGAGCAGUACAUUUUAGGGAACAGAAAUUGGCUAAGUCCACGAUGAAAAUAAAUUUGUUCUCUUUUUUUUUUAUUCACCACCAAGGAAUCUAACUUGAAAUGUUUUGAAAUUGCAAAACAUUUUGUGUACUGCAACUGUUCUCUACUUUCAAUACUGAUACAUUUCUAAAAAAAAUAUUUUUUCAUUGCACAUCUAGGUAAGGAAAUCAUUCAUAUUGCAUUUGUGUGUGAAAGAGCUGAAUAUAUGUAUGUAUACACUUUAUCUGCCUUUCUGAUUAAAUACUGCAUGUAAUUAUGAC
rnacentral:lncRNA from 1 species